rnacentral:rRNA from 1 species
GAUGAACGCUGGCGGCGUGCCUAAUACAUGCAAGUCGAACGCACAGCGAAAGGUGCUUGCACCUUUCAAGUGAGUGGCGAACGGGUGAGUAACACGUGGACAACCUGCCUCAAGGCUGGGGAUAACAUUUGGAAACAGAUGCUAAUACCGAAUAAAACUCAGUGUCGCGUGACACAAAGUUAAUAGGCGCUUUGUCGUCACAUAGAGAUGGAUGCGCGGUGCAUUAGUUAGUUGGUGGGGUAGAGGCCUACCAAGACAAUGAUGCAUAGCCGAGUUGAGAGACUGAUCGGCCACAUUGGGACUGAGACACGGCCCAGACUCCUACGGGAGGCUGCAGUAGGGAAUCUUCCACAAUGGGCGAAAGCCUGAUGGAGCAACGCCGCGUGUGUGAUGAAGGCUUUCGGGUCGUAAAGCACUGUUGUAUGGGAAGAACAGCUAGAAUAGGGAAUGAUUUUAGUUUGACGGUACCAUACCAGAAAGGGACGGCUAAAUACGUGCCAGCAGCCGCGGUAA